CAGUAGCCACGGUAAUACAGAGGGUGCAAGCGUUAAUCGGAAUUACUGGGCGUAAAGCGCGCGUAGGUGGUUCGCCAAGUUGGAUGUGAAAUCCCCGGGCUCAACCUGGGAACUGCAUCCAAAACUGGCGAGCUAGAGUAUGGUAGAGGAUGGUGGAAUUUCCUGUGUAGCGGUGAAAUGCGUAGAUAUAGGAAGGAACAUCAGUGGCGAAGGCGACCACCUGGACUGAUACUGACACUGAGGUGCGAAAGCGUGGGGAGCAAACAGGAUUAGAGACCCCUGUAGUCCCUGUCUCUUAUAC
rnacentral:rRNA from 1 species